GAAGAAAAUUGUAGACACCGUUUCUUGUGUGGACGUCGGGUCUUCGUUCCAUCCGAGGAUGUCGUUUCUUGUGUAGACUCCUAUUGGGGAGGGCGGCGUGGAGUCCUCUGGAUCCCGUACGCUGGCCGCCGCUCCCCUUCCGCUCGCGCACCCCACGCUUCUAUCCCGCGCGGCGCGUGAGCCGCGCGCCCCUCUCCCGCGCAGCCCGCGCUCCUCUCCCGCGCUCGCUCACGAGCAAAGGCGCCGUCGCUCCAAAAAUUUCGAGGCAGCGUGCCUCUUUCCAACCCCGACCCCUCCAAUCCCUCCCGGUAAAUCUCCAUCCCUCUGCUGCCCAUCUCCCAUCGAGUUCAUUCAUACAUCACUUUGGUUCCAUGUCCUUCCCCAUCCACUACCAAAAAGAUCCCUGAAUCAAAAUGAAUCGAUUGCCCAGGACUGAUGCACGGCGAGGCAAAGUCGCCCCUAGACCCCAUCCUCGAUCCGUCCGUACUGGUGGGAUCUGUGGUUCGGUCGCCGGAGGUGAUGGAUCCCAUGCUCAACCUAAAGCCACAGGUGUUCCUCAAGCUGAUGGUGUUCAUCGAAUUGGUGCUUCUCCCGUUGCUGGAUGGUGGCCAACUUCAUCUCCGAGCAAAAGGUUAUACCCACCUGGAGGGUUCUCCAACUUUCUUCAAGGAAACCCAUUUGCUAACCAUCCUAAUGCAAAUGAAGAUUUCAUUUUGUUGGGGCCGGAAUGAGUCAAUCUUCAGUUUCACCAAUUGACAUGGGUGUUACAAGGACUCCCUCUCCAGCAGAACAAACUAAUGAUAUGGUGGAAGACUUAGAUGCAGAAGAAGAUGAUAUCGUUAAGAAGUCUAGAACCGACAAGCGUCUAAAUUGGUCGGUAUCUGAAGACAUACGAUUGACCAGUGCUUGGUUGCAUAAUUCAAAGGACCCAAUUGAUGGAAAUGGUAGGAAGGCAGAUUUUUAUUGGGCAGAUGUUACUGAAGAAUACAACAAGACAACAGAAACAAAUGUGAUGUUUCUCUUCUAAUUGCUUAUGGUGAAUGAGAUUGCUUCCGGGUGAAUGUGAUGUUUAUCUUGCCGGCUGAAUGGUGAUUUUUUUUGGUUCAGUUGCUAGCUGAAUGGUUCUAUGCGUUCUGUUUAAGUUAUGUUGUUGGUGAUAAAAUUGAGAGGUGUAUAUUGGGUCACAUUGUUAUGCCACAGCUGAUCCAUUUUUGUUUAUGCUAGUAAUAAAUGUCUUUAGCUAUAGAAACUACUAUUACAAACUGUGCAUUGGGGAUUAUAGAGUCUUGUGAUAAAGUCUUCGACGUUUAAACUCUAUGGGUAGAGUAAUGGCCGGGAACCCAUCCAAGAAGAU